AUUAAGCGCAAAUGUGUUUCAGUGGCCCAUGUUUGACUGUUCGUAUUAUUUGAAAUUUUUUAAUGAUUAGUAUUUUUUGUUAUUAGAUGAUAAAACAUGAAUAAUACUCUAUGCGUGACUUAAUUUUUAAAUUCUUUUUAUAAAUUUUUCAAAUAAAACGGAUGGUCAAAUGUUAGAUAUGGAAAUUUAUGGCUGCAAUUAAA
rfam:Oryza meridionalis cultivar OR44 (W2112) chromosome 12, whole genome shotgun sequence.